GAUGAACGCUGGCGGCGUGCUUAACACAUGCAAGUCGAACGAAGCACCUUGAUUUGAUUCUUCGGAUGAAGAUCUUGGUGACUGAGUGGCGGACGGGUGAGUAACGCGUGGGUAACCUGCCUCAUACAGGGGGAUAACAGUUAGAAAUGACUGCUAAUACCGCAUAAGACCACAGCACCGCAUGGUGCAGGGGUAAAAACUCCGGUGGUAUGAGAUGGACCCGCGUCUGAUUAGGUAGUUGGUGGGGUAACGGCCUACCAAGCCGACGAUCAGUAGCCGACCUGAGAGGGUGACCGGCCACAUUGGGACUGAGACACGGCCCAAACUCCUACGGGAGGCAGCAGUGGGGAAUAUUGCACAAUGGGGGAAACCCUGAUGCAGCGACGCCGCGUGAGCGAUGAAGUAUUUCGGUAUGUAAAGCUCUAUUAGCAGGGAAGAAAAUGACGGUACCUGACUAAGAAGCACCGGCUAAAUACGUG
rnacentral:rRNA from 1 species